GGCCGGUGUUCUUCUUUAAGAUGAGCGUGUUCUAUUUGAGCGGGCAGGCUGCGGAUGUGAUUCCGACUUGGGUGUCGUUGUCGUGGAUUAUCGUUGUCGGCGGCGCGAUUGCAGUUAGUAUACUGUGGAUUUGGCACCGCUGGGUUGAAUUGUUUGCUGAGAUGAAACAGAGCCAGGGUGAAGAGAAGAAGGAUAGAUAGUUGC
rnacentral:misc_RNA from 1 species